GUGUUGAACUGAAGAGCCCUCCUUAACCAACUUCCUGCAUGCUAAUUUCAGCUCAGAUUCCACUUACUGGGGAACCUAAGUUGCAACAGGGAUUCUUACUGGACAAACUGAUCAAGAUUAUUACUCAAUGACUGCCUCAGCUCCUUCUCCCUGCUCAGCUAAACUCCUGGCAACUGGUCCUGAGGACACUGUCCACCGUGCAUUGCUCCCCAGCUCCAUAGAGCUGUCCUGGCACCUGCUCUUCCCGAGUGCCAUGGCAGUCCUGGCUUGACGAUGUAGGGAGAAGAAAACUCCCCUGCCCAACCUGGAGGAGGAGUUGAUGGUGGAAGCAUGACAUCUACUCAAGAAUGAGGAAGAUGGCCUUUUCCCUCUCCCUACAUUUCCUUUGAUUAUAAAACUGUAUCCCACUAAGUUCUCAGGGUGAAGCACCCUCUCACCCACCCACUUGUGAGUCUCACAAGCGUCCCUAUUCUAAUAAAUCAGUUCUUAUUUAC